rnacentral:rRNA from 1 species
AUUGAACGCUGGCGGCAUGCCUUACACAUGCAAGUCGAACGGCAGCACGGGAGCAAUCCUGGUGGCGAGUGGCGAACGGGUGAGUAAUAUAUCGGAACGUGCCCGGUCGUGGGGAUAACGUAGCGAAAGCUACGCUAAUACCGCAUACGAUCUACGGAUGAAAGCGGGGGAUCGCAAGACCUCGCGCGAUUGGAGCGGCCGAUAUCAGAUUAGGUAGUUGGUGAGGUAAAGGCUCACCAAGCCGACGAUCUGUAGCUGGCCUGAGAGGACGACCAGCCACACUGGGACUGAGACACGGCCCAGACUCCUACGGGAGGCAGCAGUGGGGAAUUUUGGACAAUGGGCGCAAGCCUGAUCCAGCAAUGCCGCGUGCAGGAUGAAGGCC